AAGUCGUAACAAGGUUUCCGUAGGUGAACCUGCGGAAGGAUCAUUAAAAAAUUGGACUCCAUUGGUGAGUUCAUUAAUAAUCCCUACCCUUUGUGAAUUUGUUUGUUUGAAUAAUUUUUUUUCCAAAAAAAAUUAUUGAAUGUCUUUCCUUGUUUUGGUGGAGCUUGUAAAGUGAAACCAGGCAGGGGAAUGGCAAACAAUAAUUAUUUUUGAAAAAGACCUUUUUUUAAAAUUAAACUUUUUGUAUUCAUUUGUCUAAAAUUAAUUUUUAUAAUAUAAAAACAACUUUUGACAAUGGAUCUCUUGGUUCUCGCAACGAUGAAGAACGCAGCAAAAUGCGAUAAGUAGUGUGAAUUGCAGAAUACGUGAAUCAUCGAAUCUUCGAACGCAUAUUGCACUUUUUUAGUUUACUAAAAAAGUAUGUCUGUUUGAGUAUCAGUAAAAUAUUCUCAUAAAAAACAUUGUUUUUUUUAUGGUUUUGAGUGUUUUACAACGAUAACAAGUUGUUUCACUUUAAAUUCUUUGUUAUCAAAAAAAUCAUUAAAAGCUAAUUUUAAAGAUUUUUAAAAUUGGAUAAAAUUUUCCCGUAAAAAGGAAUAACCUAAACAAUUUUAAAAAAUUAAAAUUGGUUUGAUUUUUUUUGAAACCCAAAGGAAAAAAAAACGAAAUUAACUUGAUCUCAAAUCAGAUAAGAGUACCCGCUGAACUUAAGCAUAUCAAUAAGCGGAGGAAAAGAAACUAACUAGGAUUCCCUCAGUAACGGCGAGUGAAGCGGGAAGAGCUCAAAUUUGAAAUCUUCAAGGUUUUACCUUGACGAAUUGUAGUUUAAAGAAGUGUUUUCUGUUGGAGUUUUGGUAAAAGUUCUUUGGAAAAGGACAUCAUAGAGGGUGAGAAUCCCGUAUUUGACCAUUAUCUCCAGCUUUGUGAUACACUUUCAAAGAGUCGGAUUGUUUGGGAAUGCAGUCCAAAAUGGGUGGUAAAUUUCAUCUAAAGCUAAAUACUGGCGAGAGACCGAUAGCGAACAAGUACCGUGAGGGAAAGAUGAAAAGAACUUUGAAAAGAGAGUUAAACAGUACGUGAAAUUGUCAAAAGGGAAGCGUUUGACACCAGUGUUGUUUUCUCGAAAAUCAAUUAAAAAAGGCCGGAUUUUGUGUUGUAUUGACUUUAUCAGCUUUCUGCACUUUUUUCUUGUCUUUUUUAAUGCACUUUUCGUUUAACAAGUCAACAUCAAUUUCUUUUGUUGUAAAAGGGUCAUUGGAAGGUGGCUUUCUUUUCGGAGAAAGUGUUUAUAGCCUUUGGCCUCUGCAAUCGGAGAGAUUGAGGUCUGCAGCGUAGAUCCUUCGGGUUAGAUACAUUUGUGCUAAGUUAUAGCCUUUCAUAGACAACUUGUUGACUAUGAUCAGUCAUGUAGCUUACUCGCUUAUGCUAUUUUACCUACGCUUAGGAUGUUGAG
rnacentral:misc_RNA from 1 species